UACGUAGGGGGCGAGCGUUGUCCGGAUUUAUUGGGCGUAAAGAGCGUGUAGGCGGCCAGGUAGGUCUGCUGUGAAAACUCGAGGCUCAACUUCGAGCUGUCGGUGGAAACUUUCUGGCUAGAGUCCGGAAGAGGAGAAUGGAAUUCCUGGUGUAGCGGUGAAAUGCGCAGAUAUCAGGAGGAACACCGGUGGCGAAGGCGGGUCUCUGGGCAGUAACUGACGCUGAGGAGCGAAAGCGUGGGGAGCGAACAGG
rnacentral:rRNA from 1 species